UUACAUUUUUAUUACGUCGUCGAUUAUGUUUACAUUAUAAACUUUACUGAAAAAGAAAUCUUGAAACUAUAUUAUUUUACUGAAUUUAAUUGUAUUUUUAGUGAAUUUAAUUUUACUGAAAGUAGGGUUUGUAAAUUUGCUGACUUUUUCAUUUACCGAAACGGAAUCUACCUCUGGAGUUACAUAGAAGUGAAGUAAAUAAAAAAAUUUUCCGGUCAAAGACUGGAAUUAUUAUCAGCUAAAGAAACAAAGAUUCCGAAGAACUUACAUUAGGUGGACCAACCGAUUAUAAAACAACUUUUCUUUUUACGAAAAUAAUAACUCAAAUAAUUUAAAUAAGUCAUGUGUAUGUAGUGUUGGGAUAACCGGUAUAUAUAACCGGUAUUUGGAACAAUUUGGAGUUGUUGAAAUGCCAGUAUUAAAAAAGUCGAAUACCCUUAUUUCGAUAUUCGAAAUAAUUUUACCCUGUAAAAUAAUUUCACUAAUAUAUAGUUUUACCAAUG